GAAAGGAAAAAGGGGAAACAACAGAUGGAGCAAGGUGGGCAGAGAGGAGUGUGAAGACGGGAGAGAGCUGCUGGAGGCUGGCGCGCAGGAUCACCAGUCCUGGUUCUGAUAAUGAGACAUUCAUUGUUGAACGGAGAAAUACAAUCAAACCAAUGAAAAACUACACACAAACCAAAACUGACGAACAAUCAAUGUACAAAAGGAAAACAAACUGAAAAUAAAAUAAGAUCGUCAUCUUAUUGAAGCUUAAAUUCCUGAGAUCCUGAGAGGUCCUGGUGGCAUCUCCCGUGGCCUGUAAGGUCAAAGGGGAGGUUUCAGAUAAAGAGUGAUCCACCCAAGCCCUCAACCAUGAGCUGCUGGAAGUUGAUGACACAUCAUAAUUGCAGUGAAGCUGGAAGAAGGGUCUCCUGUCUUCUUGGAUGCCAUUCACUGGACCCUGACCUCGAUUUGACAGUGAUCGUAUGGUGGCUGGUCGUGUGUAAGUUAAAUAAAUGCCUCCAUGAAGGGAAUAAUCCCUUGGGAGAGCAACAUCCUGGACUCGAGUAAUUGCACUUCUACUACUGCUGCUCCCUUGUUAAAAUGAUAAUGUUAAACAUUCUCUUCAGCAGAGCUUUCAUUUUAGUUCGGAACUUGUAGAAUAUUUGGAGAAAUUGUAUGUAGAUUCCUGUAGAUUGCACGGUCUGUCAGAAUGAAGUAAGUUGGGGAAGUCUUUUCAAAAAGCUGUAGCAGUGAAAUGGUUACCACUACAUGUACAGAUUUGUAAAUAGUACUGAAAUAUUCAAAGUCCGCAUGUUCUUGACUCAUUAAAUUAAAUCCUCCUUUUAACACAUAACAUUAUUCAGUUCAAACAUGGCUAAUUUAAAAAUUUUAAAAAAUCACACUUUGCUUUGGUGCUUUGACUUAUGAGCUUUUUCAGUCAGUACAAUUAAAUGUCUUACAGAGUGUUACUUUGUAUUUUAUGCAUCAGCUUACUUAUGACUCAAUGGGGAUUUUCC